rnacentral:rRNA from 1 species
AUGGAUGGGGGAAGUAGUUUCAACAUUCUAUAUUAUGAUACCUUGCGUUGUAUGGGGUUGACAGAUAAGAAUCUUAAACCGUCAAACACCGUUUUCCAUGAUGUGGUGCCUGGUAAGUCUGCAUAUCCAGUGGGCAAGAUAGCCUUAGAGGUGGAUUUUGGAGAUGAUCAUGAUUCAAGAUCAGAAACAUUGACUUUUGAGGUGGUAAAAAUCAAAAGUCCGUAUCAUGCUUUGUUUGGGCGACCGGCUUAUGCUAAGUUCAUGGUGAGGCCGUGUUAUGUUUAUCUACAGCUUAAAAUGCCAGGUCAUAAGGGGACAAUCACAGUACAUGGGAGUAGGAAGAUCGCUUUGGAAUGUGAGGAAGGUGAUGUGGCUUAUACUGAGUCGGUUUGUGCCACGGAGGAGCUGAAGUUUUAUAAAGACAAAGUUGAUCCGACAGAUAUGACUUCUUUGAAAAAGCCAACUACGGAACACGAUCCGGCGUUGAAAUUUAAAUUGGGCACAGAUACUAAGAUGGUUGAUUUUGUUCGUGGUGAUUCAUCCAAGCAGUUCAGCAUUAGCGCUAACCUGGAUCCCAAAUAG